UACGUAGGGACCAAGCGUUGUUCGGAUUUACUGGGCGUAAAGGGCGUGCAGGCGGUCUAUUAAGUCUAGGGUGAAAGCUCCCGGCUCAACUGGGAGAGGUCCUUGGAUACUGGUGGACUUGAGGGAUGCAGAGGAAAGUGGAAUUCCCGGUGUAGUGGUGAUAUGCGUAGAUAUCGGGAGGAACACCAGUGGCGAAGGCGG
rnacentral:rRNA from 1 species